rnacentral:tRNA from 1 species
GCUGUGAAUAUAGCUGAGUUGGAAAAGUAUUUGCUUAAUACACACAAAACCCUGGGUUUGAUCCCCAGCACAGGA